rnacentral:lncRNA from 1 species
AUCUCCCACCCCAGCACAGGAUGAGAAACCCAAAAUAUCUUACAAAGCCUUCCAGGGUGGAGAACAAAAUCUACCAGGCAGCUAACACUUAAAUUAUAUUGCAAUUAAAGUAUAAUCUUUUACAUUUCUUGGAUUUGGAAGGAGGAGAGGGUUGGAAAGAAGUACAGAAGAGGAAACUAGUCAGAAGUGAAGACAUCACAAUCCUUAGCCUCAGCAUGGAACUACUUAAGCAUACCAUAAUUGCAUCACAGAAGGUAUGCAUACCCUGAAACCAAAAAGGAAGCAGGAAGGCAAGAAAAAACAAACACAGUAUGAUGAACCAAACAGGGCAAGACAAGACUGAGAACUUGCGGACCCAAAUACAGCCCUGUUUCCAUUGCAAAACUGAAAUCCAUCCAUGAAGUGCUGAUCAUCCCACACAUUGCUGAU